rnacentral:rRNA from 1 species
GACGGAGGAUGCAAGUGUUAUCCGGAAUCACUGGGCGUAAAGGCGUCUGUAGGUGGUUUAAAAAGUCCACUGUUUAAAAAUUGAAGACUUUAACCGUUCAAAAGAUGGCCGUGGAAACUUUUUAAACUUGAGUAUGAUAGGGUAGAGGGAAUUUCCAGUGGAGCGGUGAAAUGCGUAGAUAUUGGAAAAGACCACCAAUGGCGAAGGCACUCUACUGGGCCAUUACUGACACUGAGAGACGAAAGCUAGGGGAGCGAAUGGG